rnacentral:lncRNA from 1 species
GCACUCUUGUGCGUAGCCACCUCCCCUCUGCUAGAGGCCCUGGCUGAAUCCAAGAGGAACAGCAAAGGCUGUGCCUCCAACCAACUGUGGAAAUUCAGCCAUGUGGUUGAGUUACUUUUUUUUCUCUGAAACUUAUAGCAGUCAAUAAAUUUUCAAACUCGAAGAGCCCCCAAUUCCCAGACUUAUUUGAAUCCCCAAAGACACUUCUGGAGACAUUCUCUUCACAGAAAAUAAG